rnacentral:lncRNA from 1 species
UACAAGCCCAAUUUUAGCCUGGGGCCCAAUUACAAAAAAACAAAAAAACCAAACCAAUUAAACUAACCCACCAACCCAACUAGCCUAACCCGGAGCCCAAAAACCCGAACGGCCCAAUACCCGAGCCCAAUGGACAAGCCCACAUCAGACUAGGGUUUCAGAGACUGAAACCCUAGUGCCCCACUUGCAUCUACCGCCGCCGUCAAUCACCUCAGCCACCUGCCCUCUGACUCGCGCCGCACCUGCCACCGACACCCUCACCUACUCUACCUGCAAAAGAAAGGAUACAAUAGCAGUAGGAAAUAGGGAUUUUGGUUGUGAAAAAAUGGCUAUAAAAGGCCAUUCAAAAAAAU